rnacentral:lncRNA from 1 species
GACGUCACAAACAUAAAUAUAAAAUACUGACAAAAGGGGAACAACUCUCUCUUGCAUACAGAAACAUAAUCUGACCAUACAUACUGAUAUAUAACAUCCCGCCCCCAAAACAAAAAUUUACUAAAUUUUUACAAUGGUCAAUAUGUUUAUGUGUUUUAAAAAAAUACAAUAUAUAUUAAUUUCCAAAAUUGAAAGUUUACAUGAAUAAAGUUAAUCUCUCGACACUCUAGUAACCAUUUUAAAACAAACGUAUCAACGAUGCAAACCCGAAAGUCUGGCAUCUCGGACUCCUCCCUCGGAUGACCUUAUGCACGCAUUACUUUCACAAAACACUUACAGUCAUACACACAUAUUAAUG